ensembl:lncRNA
GGGGAAGAGGAAAGAUGAGAGAAUGAUCAGUUGGAAUAGGAUGAUGAAGAAGAGGAAAGAGUGGAAGAGGAGAGGAGGAGGAAGAGGAGAGGAGGCGGAAGAGGAGAGGAGGAGGACAAUGGCGCGGAGUUGGAAGAAGAGGAUGAAGAAGAGGAAAGAGUGAAGAGGAUGGAGAGGAUAUAGUCAGAGAGAGAGAAAAAGAAAGAAAGAAAGAAAGAGAGAGAGAGGAAAGAGUGAAUACCAAAGACAAGAGUAGCACAGAGUAGAGAGGAGGAUGACAAAAUCAUGAAAAGAUGAUCAUAGAGAGAGAGUUGUCUAAAGAGGAUAGAGAGAGAGAGAGAGAGAGAGAGGUGUCUGAAGAGGAGAAAGAGAGAGAGGAGAGAGAGGUGUCUGAAGAGGAGAGAGAGGUGUCUGAAGAGGAGAAAGAGAGAGAGGAGAGAGAGAGAGAGGAGAGAGAGAGAGAGAGAGGUGUCUAAAGAGGAGAAAGGGAGGAGAGAGAGGAGAGAGGCGUCUAAAGAGGAGAAAGGGAGGAGAGAGAGGAGAGAGGUGUCUGAAGAGGAGAGAGAGAGGAGAGAGAGAGGAGAGAGAGAGGAGAGAGAGGUGUCUAAAGAGGAGAGAGAGAGGAGAGAGAGGCGUCUAAAGAGGAGAAAGGGAGAGAGAGAGAGAGAGUCGUGUAAAGAGGAGAAAGGGAGGAG